UAGAAAAAAGAUAGGAAAAAAGAGGGGAGAAAUAAGCUACAGUGCAGUGGUCUCUGCUGCGCGCACACGCUAUCUAGCGAAACCACAGCCAAGGGAACGGGCUUGGCGGAAUCAGCGGGGAAAGAAGACCCUGUUGAGCUUGACUCUAGUCCGACUUUGUGGAACGACUUGGGGGGUGUAGCAUAGGUGGGAGCUUCGGCGAUCGUGAAAUACCACUACCCUCAGUGUCGUUUUACUUAUUCCGUCAGGUUGAGACGCAUGCUCGGCAAGUGUUUUUGUCUUAAGGUGCCCCUUCUUGGGGCGCUGAUCAAUGCGGAAGACAUAGUCAGGUGGGGAGUUUGGCUGGGGCGGCACAUCUGUGAAACAAUAGCGCAGGUGUCCUAAGGCAAGCAAAUCUCACGUUGACCAAAAGGGGAAAAGCUUGCUUGAUUU
rnacentral:ncRNA from 1 species